AAAAAGAAGGAACGAAGCAAAGGAGGAAGAAAAAUUGCUGCAUCAAUGAUCGAGGGAACAAUAUGUCUUCAGUGUGGCGACAAAGGAUUUGAGAAUGCAUUUGUCUACUGCAUCAGAUGUCUGAAAUUUGCCGUGCAUCGCUACUGCCUGGAUAAGAUACCAGACACUUUUGAUGAAUU